rnacentral:misc_RNA from 1 species
AAGAGAUCCCUAUUUGAAGAAUGAUUAGCAUACGAAGUCUUAACCAUUUUGAAUGACCUUAUCAUAUUAAAGGCGAUGGUUGUUUAUUCAGAAGUUCCUUUCCUCUUUUUCAUUUAAAUUAGUUUUGCAUUUGAUUUCACAAUUCAGACUAAUAAAAGCAGUAAAUGAGGGAAUGAGAACAUGCCCUGAGGCUUAGGUUGCUAUGAGUGCUGUCAGUAACUUGGAUU